rnacentral:rRNA from 1 species
UACAGAGGUGGCAAGCGUUGUUCGGAAUUACUGGGCGUAAAGGGCGCGUAGGCGGUCUUGCAAGUCCUGUGUGAAAUCCCUCGGCUCAACUGAGGAACUGCACAGGAAACUGCUUGGCUUGAGUUCGGGAGAGGGAAGCGGAAUUCCGGGUGUAGCGGUGAAAUGCGUAGAUAUCCGGAGGAACACCGGUGGCGAAGGCGGCUUCCUGGACCGACACUGACGCUGAGGAGCGAAAGCGUGGGUAGCAAACAGG